rnacentral:lncRNA from 9 species
AUUUCCUUUAGCAGAUUUUAUGCCCUAGAAACCAAAAGAGAUUAGGAAACUUUUCUGUCUAAACAUGAUUUACUUCCUUAUUUUCAAUUCCCCAUUUCCUAACUGCUCCCCCAAUCAGGGACUAGAUUAACCUAGAUUAAAUCUUUUUUUUUUUUUUUUUUGAUCUUUCUAAACCAGAAUAUUCUUUCACAUGAUUUACUUUGGUGAAUCUAUGUGAUACAUGAGGAACCUAAAGCAACAGAGAGAGCUGAGAGCUAAUGGACACACGGCUUUUUCUUGAACAUUUGAAGAUCCUAGCUCACACAGCCUGUGCCACCAAAGGCAAGAGGAGGACUUCCAGACUGAGAAGAAAAAAUUCCAGAGAACUAAAGCACUCUGCAUCACAGACCAACAAAACACUGG